rnacentral:rRNA from 1 species
UACAGGGGGUGCAAACGUUGCUCGGAAUCAUUGGGCGUAAAGCGCACGUAGGCGGUUCGUUAUGUCGGAUGUGAAAGCCCUUGGCUUAACCGAGGAAGUGCAUCCGAAACUGGCGAGCUAGAGUACGAAAGAGGAUCGCGGAAUUCCCGGUGUAGAGGUGAAAUUCGUAGAUAUCGGGAGGAACACCGGUGGCGAAGGCGGCGAUCUGGGUCGAUACUGACGCUGAGGAGCGAAAGCGUGGGUAGCAAACAGG